rnacentral:lncRNA from 1 species
CCUGAUGGAGCUUGUGCAACACUUUGUCAAGAAGGGUUUCAAAGUAACAUUUGUAAACACCGACUUCAAUCACAAGCGUGUCAUGAAUGCAUUGUUGGAUAAAGAUAGAAAUGUAGGUGACAUGAUACAUAUGGUUUCACUCCCGGAUGGAUUAGACCCUGGGGAGGAUAGGAAUGACAUCGGAAAGUUAUCAGAAGCAGUCUCCAGAGUCAUGCCAGAGAAGCUGGAAAAGCUCAUAAAAAGUAUUAAUGCAACAGACAACAACAAAAUCACCUGCCUUGUUGCCGAUGAGAAUAUGGGAUGGGCCCUGAAAGUUGCAGAGAAGAUGGGAAUCAGGCGAAUAGCCUUCUGGCCUGCAUCAGCUGCAGUGUUGGGCUCCAUAUUCAGUAUCCCAAAGCUGAUUAAAGAUGGAAUCAUAAACAACGAUGGUAUGACCUCAUAUCACUAACUCUUAACUUGGCUAUGCAGUAUAGCAUAAUAAAACAGACAUAAGAUAUAGCUAUAUAUAAUGCUCACCACAUUUAAGAAUAAUGGAGGUUCAUAAUUAAAGUAUAUAUUUCUGUUGGGACAGAAGUAGUUAUCUAAACAAACUAUCAUGAGUAAGUUAAACAUUAUCAAGAGUAAAAUUGAGUGGGAAGCAGAAGACAAUUACCUAACAGGAAAGCAAAUAUUGUGUAUGUUAGUAUGUAUAGGCGUAUGUAGCAUUAACUUGAAUAACUAGCAUUAAAAGUUGGGCUACAAUAAAUAACCAUACCAGUAAAAAUCUUAUCUCUGUUGUUGUUGUUGUUGUUGUUGUUUCUCUUAGGCAAUACUAUUACAACCACUCAAACUGUAACCAUAACUACAAUAUAUCUUUUGAAUAUAAAAUCUGUGUCAAAACUUCCACUGCAGGUACUAUCAUAAAGAACCAGAUGAUUGACGUGUCACCAAACAUGCCUGCGAGGAACACACACUUUGCGUGGGCCUGCUUCGGUGACUUGAAAACACAGAAAAUGUUUUUUGAAAUUGUAGUAAACAACAAUGAAUUUGUGAAACUGGCAGACAGGAUAAUAUGCAACUCAGCUUAUGAGCUUGAGCCAGCAGCAUUUACCUUAAUUCCAAAUAUGUUGCCAAUCGGUCCACUUCUAGCAAGCAACCGGCAUGGUAAUCAAGCAGGCAACUUAUGGCCAGAAGAAUCAACUUGCCUGACAUGGCUUGAUCAACAGCCAGUCUGCUCAGUCAUUUAUGUUGCAUUUGGAAGCUUCACAGUUUUUAACCAGUCACAGUUCCAAGAAUUGGCUCUUGGGCUUGAAUUAACCAACAAGCUAUUCCUGUGGGUUGUGCGGCCAGAUAUGACUAACGAGAUGAAUGAAGCUUACCCAAAAGGUUUUACAGACAGAAUAGGCACUCGUGGACGAAUGGUGGGUUGGGCACCCCAAGAGAAGGUUCUACGCCAUCCUUCUGUGGCUUGUUUCUUGAGCCACUGUGGUUGGAAUUCUACCAUGGAAGGUGUAAGCAAUGGAGUGCCUUUCUUGUGCUGGCCAUACUUUGUUGAUCAGUUCCUUAACCAGAGCUACAUUUGUGAUGUUUGGAAAGUUGGAUUGGGAUUCAACAAAGAUGAAAGUGGAAUCAUCAGGCAGGGAGAAAUUAAGAAUAAGGUGGAGCAUCUACUUGGUGACAGAAAAUUUAAAGCAAGGGCUUUGGAUCUUAAGGAAAAGGUGGUGAAUAGUGUCAAAGGACACGGAAGCUCUCACAAGAAUUUGAGCAAUAUUACUGAUUGGAUGAAAUAAAAGGAUGUCAUGUUGUGAGAAUGCAUUGUUUGUUUAAUUAUGAAAAUUUGGUGGAAAAUGAACCAAAAAGUUGUAAAAAUAAGACAAAAUAGGCGUGUCAAUACCCUAUCUACUAGGGGUUGCCUAGUCUAUAUAAAAUAAUCAAAAUCAAAUUUGACUCUCGUUUUGUGACGGAGGGAAAAUAUUACAUGCAAGUGAUGGAUAAACUUAUCAAAACUCAGCUCGAAUUGUUACUCCCAACUCUCAAGCCCUACAAUUUUGUGUAGUCACGAAAAGUUUGUAAUUACCUUCUCCUUGACAACUUCAAUAUUUUCAUCGGUGGUGAAGACACGUGAGGGGUCCAUAAGGGCUAUAGCCCACCUUAUGUUUGAAUAUAAAAUUAAAAAAAAAAAUGAAAAUAGGAGCAGAGUCGCAGCUAUUCUUUGUCAAAAAAUUUUGCUCAUUUCACUCAUUCUUGUCCCUACUCUAAUUUAGACUUCUCUCUCUAUCACAAACAGGAGUUUUUCUCAGAUUUUUUUUCUGUCUUCUCCUUCAUCAAAAACCCCACUUCAGUCACUGCUCUCCUCUGUCAACUAAAAUGCCAUCCCCCCACAUCUGCUCUCCAUUAUGACCAAAUCAUUAUUUUUAGCCCAAAUUUGUCGAAAUUCAUGGCAACCACACUGUAACAUAUUAAAAAAUACACGAAAAAGAUGGUACCAGACACCGAAUAAAUGACUAAAGAAUAUUAUAGAUCACACCAAGUCACCAACGACACAUGCAUAUUUCUUCACCUUCAUUACUUCAGCCGCCAUCCCAAAGGAGAGUUUAUAAUUAAAGUGAAACAAAUAUGACAAUACUGGGUAGCAAAAUUUGGAACAAUUCACCAAGAUUGAAGUUAGAGGUGAGAGCUUGUGCAACGCUUUGUCAAGAAGAUUUGUGAUGGAAGGAAAUAUCCAUGUGACAUAUAGGUCCACUUAAGAAAAAUCAGCUUGAAUUGAAUUGAUGAUCAGACUCUCAGUGUAAUUUCCUACUCCUUGACAACCUUUGGGGGUCAUAAUAGCUAUAUGACCCAUAUUAUUAAUUACAAAUAUGGGUUGGAAUUAGUUUUGACCCAUAUUAAUCUAUACUUUUUAUAUGCAAAUGUGGGUGAAAGCCCUGCUUUUUGUUGGCUCUUUAGAUGAUACCUAGGUAUUCCACCAGCGGUUAACAACUUUCAGAUACAAUUUUCUAGUAAUUCUAUAUAAAGUUUUCUAAUCACCAACUAGGAAGAUUAGCAAACAUGUUUAAAAAUAUAAUGCUAUCUUAAAAACUGGAGGGUUUGUUAACGUGAAGCAGGAUAACUCGUAUGAUGAUCUCUCUGUUCUGGAGACUACCAAAUUGAAGCAAGCUUGUUAACUCGUAUUGUUAUCUAUCUAUAUUUAUAUGAGUUGACUGGAUUAGAAGCAUAACCAUAUUAUCUAUAUUUAAAAUGGAUAAUACCUAAUGGAUCCAUAACCUAAAAACCAUAACCAACUAAAUCCAUACUAGCUAUAGCCAACCUUUUGUUUGAGUUACAGAAAAGUAGUAGUACUACCAGUUCUCCUUUGUCGACAAAUGUUACUCACCUGACUCACUUCUUCUUGGACGGCGGCCUGCUUCUGUCAAAGGCCUCUGAAAACAACAAACCGUAACAAGUAUCCACUGUUAAGUCGG